rnacentral:rRNA from 1 species
CCCUUAGAUGUCCUGGGCCGCACGCGCGUUACACUGAUGCAUUCAACGAGCUUAUAACCUUGGCCGAGAGGCCUGGGCAAUCUUGUUAACGUGCAUCGUGAUAGGGAUAGAUUAUUGAAAUUAUUAAUCUUGAACGAGGAAUUCCUAGUAAACGCAGAUCAUCAAUCUGCAUUGAUUACGUCCCUGCCCUUUGUACACACCGCCCGUCGCACCUACCGAUUGGAUGGUCCGGUGAAGCCUCGGGAUUGUGGUUCUUGCCGCUUUAUUGUGGCGUGACCGCGAGAACUUGUCUAAACCUUNUNAUCUACNGGAAGGUGAANUCGUANCA